rnacentral:rRNA from 1 species
AAAGCUCGUAGUUGGAUUUUGGUUAAGAGGGCGCGGUCGGCCGUUUGGUCUGUACUGCGUUGUCUUGACUUCCUGAUGAGGACAUGCUCUUGGUUAACGCUGAGACAUGGAGUCAUCGUGGUUACUUUGAAAAAAUUAGAGUGUUCAAAGCGGGCUUACGCUUGAAUAUAUUAGCAUGGAAUAACACUAUAGGACUCCUGUCCUAUCUCGUUGGUCUCGGGAUGGGAGUAAUGAUUAAGAGGAACAGUUGGGGGCAUUCGUAUUUCAUUGUCAGAGGUGAAAUUCUUGGAUUUAUGAAAGACGAACUUCUGCGAAAGCAUUUGCCAAGGAUGUUUUCAUUAAUCAAGAACGAAAGUUGGGGGCUCGAAGAUGAUUAGAUACCAUCCUAGUCUCAACCAUAAACGAUGCCGACUAGGGAUUGGUGGAUGUUAAUUGAUGACUUCACCAGCACCUUAUGAGAAAUCAAAGUUUUUGGGUUCCGGGGGGAGUAUGGUCGCAAGGCUGA